rnacentral:rRNA from 1 species
UACAUGGGGUGCAAACGUUGCUCGGAAUUAUUGGGCGUAAAGCGCACGUAGGCGGUUCGUUAAGUCGGAUGUGAAAGCCCUCGGCUCAACUGAGGAAGUGCACCCGAAACUGGCGAGCUUGAGUACGAAAGAGGAUCGCGGAAUUCCCGGUGUAGAGGUGAAAUUCGUAGAUAUCGGGAGGAACACCAGUGGCGAAGGCGGCUCUCUGGGCAGAUACUGACGCUGAGACGCGAAAGCAUGGGGAGCAAACAGG